AUAUAUAUAUAUAUAUAUAGAUUUUGAGAAAUGUUUCAAAUUGUAUACCUAAUCAGCAUCUUCGUGCCUCGUUAUAGGAUAGGUGAAAUCUCAAAGCGUUUUAUACAAUAUGUACAUCAAGAUUUUCUUUGGCUAAAUGUUGCAAUACCUUGGCGAGUCAUCGCAGAUGUGACAUAACGACGUUUGAUGAUCUUGUGAAAAAAAGCUAGUAAAACUUUAGUAAAGGUAUAAAUUCAACCUAAUUAUAUAGCUGAAUACACCGUGCAUCGUAUACUUGUCGUCAUAAUGCAUCGAGGCAACGAGUGCUCUAGCCAUAAAAGUCUGUCUUUAGGAGGUAAGAUAAAACGAAGGAGAAAUAUAAACGAGAGAGAGAGAGAGAGAGAGAGAGAGAGAAAAGGGAAAGAGAGGAGAGGAGGAAAAGCAGCAGCAUGGAGCAUUAAAAACGUCGUCCCGGUGGAGAGCCAUAAAAAUGAAAUCGCACGGUACAAUGACGAACGCUUCCAAGAAUACAGGAACGUGGCAUCAAAGGCGCGGGAUAGCGUCUUCUAAAGGCAAAAGAUCGCGGUUUAGGAUCAAGGAAACGGCGAGGAAUCGAGGAAAUGAGGAGUCGAAGCAACGGAACUCGGCAUUCACCGAGUGCCAAUUCUUGCAGAAACUAAGGGAUAUUCUACGGUUCGUCCACGUUCGUUCGAUCAACAUUUUCGUUUGUGUGCUCUUCAAGGAGGAAGUCGUGGACAAAUUAAAAAAGGGGCUGCGAAAUUCGCAUUCUUCUCCAAAUGCGAAUUUUUUCGAGAACCAAACGG